rnacentral:rRNA from 1 species
AGUGGGGAAUUUUGGACAAUGGGCGCAAGCCUGAUCCAGCAAUGCCGCGUGAGUGAAGAAGGCCUUCGGGUUGUAAAGCUCUUUUGUCAGGGAAGAAACGGUAGAGGCUAAUAUCCUUUGCUAAUGACGGUACCUGAAGAAUAAGCACCGGCUAACUACGUGCCAGCAGCCGCGGUAAUACGUAGGGUGCAAGCGUUAAUCGGAAUUACUGGGCGUAAAGCGUGCGCAGGCGGUUUUGUAAGUCUGUCGUGAAAUCCCCGGGCUCAACCUGGGAAUUGCGAUGGAGACUGCAAGGCUAGAAUCUGGCAGAGGGGGGUAGAAUUCCACGUGUAGCAGUGAAAUGCGUAGAGAUGUGGAGGAACACCGAUGGCGAAGGCAGCCCCCUGGGUCAAGAUUGACGCUCAUGCACGAAAGCGUGGGGAGCAAA